AUUGAACGCUGGCGGCAUGCCUUACACAUGCAAGUCGAACGGUAGAGGGGGCAACCCCUCGAGAGUGGCGAACGGGUGAGUAAAGCAUCGGAACGUGCCCAGUAGUGGGGGAUAGCCCGGCGAAAGCCGGAUUAAUACCGCAUGAGACCUACGGGUGAAAGGGGGGGAUCGCAAGACCUCUCGCUAUUGGAGCGGCCGAUGUCAGAUUAGGUAGUUGGUGGGGUAAAGGCCUACCAAGCCGACGAUCUGUAGCUGGUCUGAGAGGACGACCAGCCACACUGGAACUGAGACACGGCCCAGACUCCUACGGGAGGCAGCAGUGGGGAAUUUUGGACAAUGGGCGAAAGCCUGAUCCAGCCAUGCCGCGUGCGGGAAGAAGGCCUUCGGGUUGUAAACCGCUUUUGUCAGGGAAGAAAUCCUUUGAGUUAAUACCUCGGGGGGAUGACGGUACCUGAAGAAUAAGCACCGGCUAACUACGUGCCAGCAGCCGCGGUAAGAC
rnacentral:rRNA from 1 species